rnacentral:rRNA from 1 species
UGGCAAGCGUUAUCCGGAAUUAUUGGGCGUAAAGCGCGCGCAGGUGGUUUUUUAAGUCUGAUGUGAAAGCCCACGGCUCAACCGUGGAGGGUCAUUGGAAACUGGGAGACUUGAGUGCAGAAGAGGAAAGUGGAAUUCCAUGUGUAGCGGUGAAAUGCGUAGAGAUAUGGAGGAACACCAGUGGCGAAGGCGACUUUCUGGUCUGUAAC